CUUAAUGUUUUCGACGGGGUCAAAAGCCUUCUUGUCGGAAGAGGUACCUGUCUGAAGCUCCGCCGUGGCCUGCUCAACCUUUGCCGCCGCAACCGUUUUUAGCUCUUCCUUCUCGCUGUAUAUACCAUGUUAUUGAUUUUUUUUUUUUUUUUUUAAUUAUAGCCAACCCCGUUAUUAGUUUAUAAAAGUGUUUAGCCUUUUUCAAUUAAUACAAUAAAGCUAAUCAUAUGCUAUUAAGAAGAUGUAUAGAGUACUUACAUGAGAAGCUUCUUGAGAGCUUCAAUAGCCUCGUCGUAUGAUUCGCUUCCCAUCUCUUCGCUCUGCAAGUUGGUUGACCAAAUAAAAUUAGAAGACAGUCUAGUUAUAUAUAUAUUAGUGACGUCGUGACAGUAAUAAAGUAGGGAGAGCGGGGCUUGUCGUGUUUUAGAUGUUGAAACUACAAUCAACCAGUUCAACACUUUAUUAUAUACGAUGAAAUUUUAAGUACACUUUUAUCGUCUUUUAUACUAUGAUCAUUUUAAUUUUGGGCUGGAAGAUCGGUAAUGUGGUUAGGAGCCAUAUCGGUAGGUUGAAUGAAUAAAUAUAGACGGCGACUUCAUCACAACUAUGCUCCACACCCUCUCAUAUGGGUUUAUGCACAACACACACGUAUCAGUUUUUAAAAAUAGUUUUUAUGAAGCUACUAGUAAAUUAUUUUCUUUUCUUUUUUUUUCUCUUUUAUCACGUGGAUCCUACGUAUGUUCCAGCUCCCAAAUUUAAAAAUGUCGGAUUUUGAGUAGAGAUAUGCAAUACAACGCUUUUAAUAUUUCGAGGUCUUUUUUUUUCUUUUUUUGACACCAUGCAUUAAACGAGAAGUUGGAAUCGCUUAGAGCAUUUGGAAGCUGAAAAUGAACUCAUCACUUGUGAUUCACUACGCUACUCUGAUCAGUCUUGAUAUUUUUGGGUGGUAUUGUUUCAGUGUCACGCUAAAAACCAAAAGUAAAAGACGGAUAAUAAUAGUAAGGAUAAUAAAAGGAAAUGUGAAACACACGUGAGAGUUUCCAGGAUUUGUGGAAGUUUCGUAAUAAGAUAGUUUCUAUUUUCUAUGUAGAGAAGUAAUGUUAUAUCGAGUACCAGUCUCUCUACUUAUCUACGUGAUUAGACCGAAGAACCAUGCAUUUAGCUUUUUGAAUAAAUAUUAAAUGAGACGAUUAAUUACUAAUUAGAUAAUUGCGAAACGAAUAUAUAUAUAUAAUUGUAAAUGCAGAACAUCGUGAGACAUAAUUAAAAACACGAACUAUUCCGUAAUUUAUCGGAUUACUACUGACUAAUGCGAAAAGAACUAAUUACCAUCAAGUGAAAACUUCGCAAGGAAGGGUAAUUUUGUUUUCUAUGUAGAUAUAGAAAACCCGUAUUAGAACCUAAAACCAUCAUUAAAGGCAUUAUUAAUGGAAGUACUUUAUAUAAGAUAUUUUCUUAAAUAAAUAUUACCCUUAUGAUACUCCCAUUAAUGAUGCCUUAAGUAACCAACAGCAAUGUAACUAUAUAUAUGUAAGAAAUAACAAAUGUAGGUUAAGAAAUAGUAAAGAGAGGGAGGAAUGUAAAAUGUAUACCCAAUAAGGGGCGAUGACAGGAGCAGGAGCGGCAAAAACGGGCUCGUUGCGGAUAAGGGUUGGAACGGAACGGGGAGAAGAGGAGGAGGAGGAAGAAGAAGAGGAGGAGGGAAGGCAAGCGACGGUGGAAGAAGUGCGAAGAGAGGCUUUUUGGAGAGAUGAUUGAGAAGGAGUGAGAGAAGUGAGGAAGAAGCCGGAGAGAGGAGCGGUCGACAUAUUUGCUGGUGAAAAGAAGUGUAGUGAAAGUGAUCAGAGAUGUGUUAAUUAUAGUUAUUACACUCUCUUUAUGGAAGCUACGUUACGUACUGCUAACUAAGUGAAUGUAUUAUAGGAUUGGUUGAAGGAGUUAGAGCGUUUGUGUUCCUCAUGGACUUAUGGUAAGGUUUGUGGGAACGAGGAUAACGAAAGCGAUAGGUGCGGUGAAUAAGAAAGUUUCUUCUUUUCUUGUGGAUGAGGAAUAUUUGCACAAGAUUUUGAAAAUUUUACGUGCUCUUCUUCUUUCAGUUUUUUUUCUUUUUC
rnacentral:lncRNA from 1 species